CGCCCGUCAGAGCACGAGAGUCGGCAAUGCCAGAAGUUGGUGUCCUAACCGCAAGGAGGGAGCUACCCAAGGCAGUGGUGGCAAUUGGGCUUAAGUCGUAACAAGGUACCUGUAUCGGAAGAUGUGGAUGGAUCACCUCCUUUCUAUGGAGAAUUGUCUUUACAGACAACAAUGUAUAGAAAUUUAACCUUGAUUUAAUACGGAUUAUUAAAGUUCGAGUUCUAUUUAGUUUUCAGAGAUUGUUUUAAUUUCUGAAAAAACACAUUUUCAAACAUUUUUAACAAAAUGUUUUCGAGUGUAAUUGUUCUUUAAAAACUAGAUAAGUAGACAUCAAAAUUAAUCAAAUUUUUUAUAAAUUAUCUUGCAAUAGGAUUAUUCUAAUAAAUUAAUAAGAGCGUAUGGUGGAUGCCUUGGGAUUGGAAGACGAAGAAGGACGCGAUUACCUGCGAUAAGCUUCGGGGAGUUGGAAAUAAACUUUGAUCCGGAGACUUCCGAAUGGGGAAACCCACUAUCUCUAAUCAGAUAGUACUGAAUAGUGAAUUCAUAGCUAUUCAGAGUGAUACCUAGAGAAUUGAAACAUCUUAGUACCUAGAGGAAAAGAAAGCGAAUGCGAUUCCCUUAGUAGCGGCGAGCGAAAAGGGACCAGCCCAAACCACUCAUCAGAGUGGGGUUAUAGGACCAUCAUUAUAGAAGUUACAAAAUUUGUCGAUAGUAGAAGUUGUUGGGAAGCAACGCCAUAGAUGGUGAAAGCCCAGUAUAUAAAAUUGACAAAUCUUCUGAUGGUAUCCUGGGUACGACGAGACACGAGAAAUCUUGUCGGAAUUUGCGCAGACCACUGCGUAAGGCUAAAUACUAACCAAUCACCGAUAAUGAACCA
rnacentral:sRNA from 1 species